UUCACAUGAUGAGAGUCCCAAAGGUUUCGCUCAUUGGACUGAGCUUCUGUGAUGUCACUUCCUCUUGGCUGUCUGACGAC
ensembl:snoRNA